GAACGCUGGCGGCGUGCCUAAUACAUGCAAGUCGAACGAAUCUUCUUCGGAAGAUGAGUGGCGAACGGGUGAGUAAUACAUAGGUAACCUGCCCCUGUGCGGGGGAUAACAGGAGGAAACUCCUGCUAAUACCGCAUAGCCAUGAGCACCGCAUGGAGCUCAUGCCAAAUAUCCUUUAUGGGAUAGCGCAGGGAUGGACCUAUGGCGCAUUAGCUUGUUGGCGGGGCAACGGCCCACCAAGGCAACGAUGCGUAGCCGGCCUGAGAGGGCGGACGGCCACAUUGGGACUGAGACACGGCCCAGACUCCUACGGGAGGCAGCAGUAGGGAAUUUUCGGCAAUGGGGGAAACCCUGACCGAGCAACGCCGCGUGAGCGAAGAAGGCCUUCGGGUCGUAAAGCUCUGUUGUAAAGGAAGAACGGCGCAUACAGGAAAUGGUAUGCGAGUGACGGUACUUUACCAGAAAGCCACGGCUAACUACGUGCCAGCAGCCGCGGUAAUACGUAGGUGGCGAGCGUUAUCCGGAAUCAUUGGGCGUAAAGAGGGAGCAGGCGGCCGCAAGGGUCUGUGGUGAAAGACCGAAGCUAAACUUCGGUAAGCCAUGGAAACCGGGCGGCUAGAGUGCGGAAGAGGAUCGUGGAAUUCCAUGUGUAGCGGUGAAAUGCGUAGAUAUAUGGAGGAACACCAGUGGCGAAGGCGACGGUCUGGGCCGCAACUGACGCUCAUUCCCGAAAGCGUGGGGAGCAAAUAGGAUUAGAUACCCUAGUAGUCCACGCCGUAAACGAUGGUCACUAAGUGUCGGGGGUCAAACCCCGGUGCUGCAGUCAACGCAAUAAGUGACCCGCCUGAGUAGUACGUUCGCAAGAAUGAAACUCAAAGGAAU
rnacentral:rRNA from 1 species